rnacentral:rRNA from 1 species
UCCUACGGGGGGCUGCAGUGGGGAAUAUUGGACAAUGGGCGAAAGCCUGAUCCAGCCAUGCCGCGUGUGUGAAGAAGGUCUUCGGAUUGUAAAGCACUUUAAGUUGGGAGGAAGGGCAUUAACCUAAUACGUUAGUGUUUUGACGUUACCGACAGAAUAAGCACCGGCUAACUCUGUGCCAGCAGCCGCGGUAAUACAGAGGGUGCAAGCGUUAAUCGGAAUUACUGGGCGUAAAGCGCGCGUAGGUGGUUUGUUAAGUUGGAUGUGAAAGCCCCGGGCUCAACCUGGGAACUGCAUCCAAAACUGGCAAGCUAGAGUACGGUAGAGGGUGGUGGAAUUUCCUGUGUAGCGGUGAAAUGCGUAGAUAUAGGAAGGAACACCAGUGGCGAAGGCGACCACCUGGACUGAUACUGACA